GACGAACGCUGUUCGGCGUGCUUAACACAUGCAAGUCGAACGGAAAGGCCCUGCUUUUGUGGGGUGCUCGAGUGGCGAACGGGUGAGUAACACGUGAGUAACCUGCCCUUGACUUUGGGAUAACUUCAGGAAACUGGGGCUAAUACCGGAUAGGAGCUCCUGCUGCAUGGUGGGGGUUGGAAAGUUUCGGCGGUUGGGGAUGGACUCGCGGCUUAUCAGCUUGUUGGUGGGGUAGUGGCUUACCAAGGCUUUGACGGGUAGCCGGCCUGAGAGGGUGACCGGCCACAUUGGGACUGAGAUACGGCCCAGACUCCUACGGGAGGCAGCAGUGGGGAAUAUUGCACAAUGGGCGGAAGCCUGAUGCAGCAACGCCGCGUGCGGGAUGACGGCCUUCGGGUUGUAAACCGCUUUCGCCUGUGACGAAGCGUGAGUGACGGUAAUGGGUAAAGAAGCACCGGCUAACUACGUGCCAGCAGCCGCGGUGAUACGUAGGGUGCGAGCGUUGUCCGGAUUUAUUGGGCGUAAAGGGCUCGUAGGUGGUUGAUCGCGUCGGAAGUGUAAUCUUGGGGCUUAACCCUGAGCGUGCUUUCGAUACGGGUUGACUUGAGGAAGGUAGGGGAGAGUGGAAUUCCUGGUGGAGCGGUGGAAUGCGCAGAUAUCAGGAGGAACACCAGUGGCGAAGGCGGUUCUCUGGGCCUUUCCUGACGCUGAGGAGCGAAAGCGUGGGGAGCGAACAGGCUUAGAUACCCUGGUAGUCCACGCUGUAAACGGUGGGUACUAGGUGUGGGGUCCAUUCCACGGGUUCCGUGCCGUAGCUAACGCUUUAAGUACCCCGCCUGGGGAGUACGGCCGCAAGGCUAAAACUCAAAGGAAUUGACGGGGCCCCGCACAAGCGGCGGAGCAUGCGGAUUAAUUCGAUGCAACGCGUAGAACCUUACCUGGGUUUGACAUGGAUCGGGAGUGCUCAGAGAUGGGUGUGCCUCUUUUGGGGUCGGUUCACAGGUGGUGCAUGGCUGUCGUCAGCUCGCGUCGUGAGAUGUUGGGUUAAGUCCCGCAGCGAGCGCAACCCUUGUUCACUGUUGCCAGCACGUUAUGGUGGGGACUCAGUGGAGACCGCCGGGGUCAACUCGGAGGAAGGUGGGGAUGACGUCAAGUCAUCAUGCCCCUUAUGUCCAGGGCUUCACGCAUGCUACAAUGGCUGGUACAGAGAGUGGCGAGCCUGUGAGGGUGAGCGAAUCUCGGAAAGCCGGUCUCAGUUCGGAUUGGGGUCUGCAACUCGACCUCAUGAAGUCGGAGUCGCUAGUAAUCGCAGAUCAGCAACGCUGCGGUGAAUACGUUCCCGGG
rnacentral:rRNA from 1 species